rnacentral:rRNA from 1 species
GCGGAAUUUUAGAUAAUGGAGGGAACUCUGAUCUAGCGACGCCGCGUGCAGGAAGAAGGUCUUCGGAUUGUAAACUGCUGUGGUAAGGGAAAAAUGCUAUGUAGAGUGGAAAGCUACAUAGAGGGAUGGUACCUUACUAGAAAGCCCCGGCUAACUACGUGCCAGCAGCCGCGGUAAUACGUAGGGGGCGAGCGUUACCCGGAAUCACUGGGCGUAAAGGGAGCGUAGGUGGCCUAACAUGUCAACUGUGAAAACCCGGAGCUCAACUCCGGACUUGCAGUUGAAACUGGUAGGCUUGAGGACGGUAGAGGAAGACGGAACUGCCAGUGUAGGGGUAAAAUCCUUAGAUAUUGGCAGGAACGCCGGUGACGAAGGUGGUUUUCUGGGCCGGUUCUGACACUGAUGCUCGAAAGCCAGGGGAGCGAACG